GCCACGGCGUCGUCCACACGGGACAAGCCUAGGUUCACCAUGGCUGGCCGGGCGGCGGGAGCGCGCCUGCGCAGGAGGGCAGAGCCCUGUCCUGUCCCACCUGCACCUGCUGAGCUACCCUGAUCCUGCCUGGGCUGCACGCUGCGUGCCUCCCUCUCCUGGCCCGGCUGUAUCCUUCUUCUGGACCUGGGGCCCCUCUCAGCCUGGGUGAAUGGGUGUGUCCUGGAAAGAGCUGCACCGCCACGCUUCCUAGGGGACCUACCUGCCGUGCCCCAGCACCAGCCUGUGCUUCUGCUCUCUGGACACCUGGGACGAGAUGAACCCGGCGUAGGAGGCUUCAUCUUGAAAUUCCCACAGAUUAACCCAGAGCUUCUGGCACCCUGGCACUGUGGGUGGGAAGAGGGAGGGAGGGCUGAGCCCUGGGCUGCCCGAGGACAGCGUCUGGGAGGGUGACCUGUCCCUCUUGAUGGGAAGCUGGGACUGGCCCAGGAGCUGCAGCCUCACCGCCAGCUGUGAGCAGGGGCAGGUUGUUGUUGCCCAACUGGGACUCUGUGCCCCAGUUGCCAAAGCCUCUCUUGUAGGAGUCCCAGUUCCAGAAGAAGCUCAGAGAGCUGUCCACUGGUCGCUGGGAAAGCCAUGGUACAGCGGGAUGGCCUGUGCUGUGGACCUGGGCCACGGGGAGCAGGGCCUCAAGAGGUCAAUCCACGCCCUGCCCACCUUCCCAUAGAGCAGGGAGAAAACAGGGAUGAGGGUCGCGGAGGCAGAUGGUACCAGCUGGCCAGGACACUGCCACAGGCCAGCCUGUCCUUGCAGCUCCGUGCCCUGGGAGCACGAGCAGCCCUGGGGAGGCCCCUGUGCGGCCACAGCAGUCAGGUGGGUGAAUGGAGAGGCCGCUCACUGGUCUGGCACAGGGUGUCCCCUAGCUCCUUCUCCCAUGGGCAGGGGACAGGGAUGUCUGCUUUCACUGGGGUGUUUUCAAGGCCCACCACGGCAUAGCAGGAAGCAGCCUCCCUCCCUUUUGAUGCAGAACACCACCCUGUGACAGAUCACACU